AAUGAGUAGACAGAUGCCUGGAACAGUCAGUGAGAAUUCUCAAUUUUGAGCACAGCAUCACACUGCAAACGGACUAAAUAUAUCACCACUCAUUACAGCAACGUUGUUUGAUGGUAAAGAAAAUUCUCUUUUAUUUUUGAAGUAAAAUUACUGGACACAAAAAUAUGUUACACUAAAGAGAACUUUUUAAUUUUUGAAAUUGAAAGCUCAGUUAUACAAAUCACCAGAAACUGCUAUAUAAAGCUUGUAGACAGUAUAAAUUUCUAAAUUAAAAAAAAAGAAGAGGAAAUUUGGACACACAUACAAACAGAGGAAGAUAAUGUGAAGACACAUGGAAAAGAAGG
rnacentral:lncRNA from 1 species